AAGCGCUUGUGACCAGACGUGCGCCGGGGUGUUCAGCGGGCGUUCUCGCCCGUGCACUCGCCUCGGUGCAGGCCAGCGUCGGUUUGGGUGGGGGGAUAAAGGCGUCUGGAAUGUGGCUCCUCCGGGAGUGUUAUAGCCCGUUGCAUAAUACCCUGCGGUGGACUGAGGACCGCGCAUCUGCAAGGAUGCUGGCGUAAUGGUCACCAGCGA
rnacentral:rRNA from 1 species